AAACAACUCUCGGCAACGGAUAUCUCGGCUCUCGCAUCGAUGAAGAACGUAGCGAAAUGCGAUACUUGGUGUGAAUUGCAGAAUCCCGUGAACCAUCGAGUCUUUGAAUUCAAGUUGCGCCAGAAGCCAUCUGGCCGAGGGCACGUCUGCUUGGGCGUCACGCACGUCGUCGCCCCCCGCCCCGCGCCAUACGCCAAGGGAACGCGCGCGCAGGCGGCGGGGCAGAGCAUGGCCCCCCAUGCUAGCGAGGGCGGGUCGGCCCAAAAAGAGGGAUCCCAGUGGGUACGGUCACGACCGGCGGUGGUUGUUUAGAAGCCUUCGGGCACCGGCGAGUGCCCCGACACCGACCCGAGUGACCCCCUGAGCGACGCCCCAGGGCGCCAUUCACGACGCGACCCCAGGUCAGGCAGGACUACCCGCUGAGUUUAAGCAUAUCAAUAAGCGGAGGAAGAGAAACUAACCAGGAUUCCCCUAGUAACGACGAGCGAACCGGGAAGAGCCC
rnacentral:rRNA from 1 species